GUAAAAGCAAACAUGGUAUUUAAUUAAAAAUAUUAAAUUGACCUUAAUCAAUUUUUAUCAACCUGCUAUUAACACUCACUUUUAGUAAGUUACUUGUACUUUGAGGUUGAAAAAUCUUACCAGCUCAGUCUGCUUGAGCUGGAUUAAUUUAGAAAAAGUAAGUUUAUGACACUGUGGGCAUGCGCAGAUCAAUCAAUCAUCCCCAACCAAUCAAGCUGCUUCGUAAGGCGGGUCUUGGCGUGGCGGGAUUCGUAAUUUUGCAAACGGUAGAUGAAGCUGGAUAUCAUUGAGCUGGACCUAAACAUCGCUUCAACGGCACUUGUGAUUAUCGUCAGCAUAACAGCGAUUCUUGUGCUUGGCACACUCAUUUGUUUCCUUCCAGGCACAAGCAUAUGGUGAUCAAUCCACACAUUCCAUAAUCCCAGCAAUAAAAGAUACUGUGGGUUCGAUUUAUAGUCCAUCAUACCCAGGACAACAGUUCCCUUGAUGUCUAACCACAUAAGCGAGUCAUUUACCAUUUACUUUUUGUACUGCUGUAUUCACUUGUCUUAAAGAAGUUCAUUGAUUAAAAGCUUGAUAAUUAGAUUUUUGCAAGGAUUUAGUUUUUCCUAUAGCUCUGGUAUUUCAAAUCUGAUACUGCAUUUGAGUGUUUUUGUCUUUUUAUGUUGCUAGGCUUGAUGCUAAAAUUAUCUUUUCUUUCUUUUCAGAUUUUCAAACAGUUAUCAAAAUGGACCAGAGGUUGUUACUGAGAGUCAUCAUCGCAGAAGAUGAUAUAACAUUGUCAUCACCCACCACAACAUUAGACACUGAGGGCAGCACAGCAGACACUGAGAUCCUGUCGCCUGUAGGAGCAUCACCAUCGCUAAGACAACAGUGGCCAGAGUUCUUUGACAUACCCAAUUAGCACAUAUCAUAGAGAGACAGGUGUUUGCUGAGUUUAAUAGAAUCGCCAGUAAGAAUCUUGAGGGAGACUUCUUUGAGGCUCUGGACCAGUAUGCCCCACGUUUCAUUGAACUUUUCAAAACAAAAUAGGGAACUGUUGGCCAGAAACUCAGGGAGCUGAUGCAGCACAUGAGCUGGAUGACACCAGACGACACAGUACUUCGCUCUGUUGUCCUCAAAGGCAUUCCCAUUUUACUCGGUGAUGACUCCAGUGAAUUCUACAAGACCUGCUCUGAUACAGAGAGAGACGAGGCCCUAGAAUGCAUCACUGUAGUCCUCACGAGGGUCAAAGCUCAGUGGACCUCCAGCCCAUCUCCACUGCCAUCAUUCUGGAGGGAGGUAUUCUCAUGGAUCAUGUUAAAAACUUGCCUCAGGCAGUUUGUCCUUUGUUUGGUCUUACAUAUGCAUUGCAUUUGGAUACCCAAAAUGCAUGGCAAAUACACUCAACUUCAUUCAGACUGUGAUGCUUGGACUGGUAAAGAAAAACCUCCCACCAAAACUGUUAACUCCUGAAGAACAGUCUUCUGGGUUAGAACAGUAAAGAGCCAUCGGCUGUCAGAUAGCACUUUGUAAGCUUUGCAGCCAUUAAUGUUCUCCUCUUAUCAGAGAAAGUUUGAUGCUUUCAUGGAACUGUUCUCGCUUAUUUACGUUCUCAAUGGAAAAAAAAAAAAGAAUAUUCCAUUAAAGUCUACCAUGUUAUGCAGGUAUGCUAAUGGUGGAAAUAGUGCCAUGUUGUGUUGCAAUGAGUUGUUAGAUGUUAUUAGAUGAUAAUGUCAGAAAAUAACCUAGCAAGGUUAUCCUGUUUACAUUUGUGUUUUGGGAAAACUUUUAAUGAUGUUUUUAUUUGUGUUGGUUUAAUCCUUGGACUGCUCACUUUGGGACACAAAAGUAUGUUGUACUUUCGGUUUUGAUCAGAAAUGCACUGAUUUUGCAUGCACUGAAGUCGUCCUGUAGUUACCUGUUUAAUAUUGGGAGACAUGCAUACAAUUAGCUCACAGAAAUGUUUUUAUUUUUUUUUUUAUAUAUUUUUCCAUGUCAUUUUAUACAGUUAAAUCAAACCACAACUUUGUUGUUUAGCUGCUGUUUUGUACUUGAAUGUGCAUUGAAUAAAUUUUGUAAUGGAGCUGAA